AUUGAACGCUGGCGGCAUGCCUUACACAUGCAAGUCGAACGGUAACAGGUCUUCGGAUGCUGACGAGUGGCGAACGGGUGAGUAAUACAUCGGAACGUGCCUAGUAGUGGGGGAUAACUACUCGAAAGAGUGGCUAAUACCGCAUGAGAUCUACGGAUGAAAGCAGGGGAUCGCAAGACCUUGUGCUACUAGAGCGGCCGAUGGCAGAUUAGGUAGUUGGUGGGAUAAAAGCUUACCAAGCCGACGAUCUGUAGCUGGUCUGAGAGGACGAUCAGCCACACUGGGACUGAGACACGGCCCAGACUCCUACGGGAGGCAGCAGUGGGGAAUUUUGGACAACGGGCGAAAGCCUGGUCCAGCAAUGCCGCGUGCAGGAUGAAGGCCUUCGGGUUGUAAACUGCUUUUGUACGGAACGAAAAGCCCCGGGUUAAUACCCUGGGGUCAUGACGGUACCGUAAGAAUAAGCACCGGCUAACUACGUGCCAGCCGCCGCAGUAA
rnacentral:rRNA from 1 species